rnacentral:rRNA from 1 species
UACGAAGGUCCCAAGCGUUAUCCGGGUUUAUUGGGUUUAAAGGGUGCGUAGGCGGACUGUUAAGUCAGUGGUGAAAGCUCCAUGCCUAACAUGGAAAAUGCCAUUGAUACUGAUAGUCUUGAGUACAUUUGAAGUGGGCGGAAUGUGUCAUGUAGCGGUGAAAUGCUUAGAUAUGACACAGAACACCGAUUGCGUAGGCAGCUCACUAAACUGUAACUGACGCUGAGGCACGAAAGCAUGGGGAGCAAACAGG